rnacentral:rRNA from 1 species
GAUCUAGCCAUGGGCAGGUUGAAGGUUGGGUAACACUAACUGGAGGACCGAACCGACUAAUGUUGAAAAAUUAGCGGAUGACUUGUGGCUGGGGGUGAAAGGCCAAUCAAACCGGGAGAUAGCUGGUUCUCCCCGAAAGCUAUUUAGGUAGCGCCUCGUGAAUUCAUCUCCGGGGGUAGAGCACUGUUUCGGCAAGGGGGUCAUCCCGACUUACCAACCCGAUGCAAACUGCGAAUACCGGAGAAUGUUAUCACGGGAGACACACGGCGGGUGCUAACGUCCGUCGUGAAGAGGGAAACAACCCAGACCGCCAGCUAAGGUCCCAAAGUCAUGGUUAAGUGGGAAACGAUGUGGGAAGGCCCAGACAGCCAGGAUGUUGGCUUAGAAGCAGCCAUCAUUUAAAGAAAGCGUAAUAGCUCACUGGUCGAGUCGGCCUGCGCGGAAGAUGUAACGGGGCUAAACCAUGCACCGAAGCUGCGGCAGCGACGCUUAUGCGUUGUUGGGUAGGGGAGCGUUCUGUAAGCCUGUGAAGGUGGCCUGUGAGGGUUGCUGGAGGUAUCAGAAGUGCGAAUGCUGACAUAAGUAACGAUAAAGCGGGUGAAAAGCCCGCUCGCCGGAAGACCAAGGGUUCCUGUCCAACGUUAAUCGGGGCAGGGUGAGUCGACCCCUAAGGCGAGGCCGAAAGGCGUAGUCGAUGGGAAACAGGUUAAUAUUCCUGUACUUGGUGUUACUGCGAAGGGGGGACGGAGAAGGCUAUGUUGGCCGGGCGACGGUUGUCCCGGUUUAAGCGUGUAGGCUGGUUUUCCAGGCAAAUCCGGAAAAUCAAGGCUGAGGCGUGAUGACGAGGCACUACGGUGCUGAAGCGACAAAUGCCCUGCUUCCAGGAAAAGCCUCUAAGCAUCAGGUAACAUCAAAUCGUACCCCAAACCGACACAGGUGGUCAGGUAGAGAAUACCAAGGCGCUUGAGAGAACUCGGGUGAAGGAACUAGGCAAAAUGGUGCCGUAACUUCGGGAGAAGGCACGCUGAUAUGUAGGUGAAGCGACUUGCUCGUGGAGCUGAAAUCAGUCGAAGAUACCAGCUGGCUGCAACUGUUUAUUAAAAACACAGCACUGUGCAAACACGAAAGUGGACGUAUACGGUGUGACGCCUGCCCGGUGCCGGAAGGUUAAUUGAUGGGGUUAGCGGCAACGCGAAGCUCUUGAUCGAAGCCCCGGUAAACGGCGGCCGUAACUAUAACGGUCCUAAGGUAGCGAAAUUCCUUGUCGGGUAAGUUCCGACCUGCACGAAUGGCGUAAUGAUGGCCAGGCUGUCUCCACCCGAGACUCAGUGAAAUUGAACUCGCUGUGAAGAUGCAGUGUACCCGCGGCAAGACGGAAAGACCCCGUGAACCUUUACUAUAGCUUGACACUGAACAUUGAGCCUUGAUGUGUAGGAUAGGUGGGAGGCUUUGAAGUGUGGACGCCAGUCUGCAUGGAGCCGACCUUGAAAUACCACCCUUUAAUGUUUGAUGUUCUAACGUUGGCCCGUAAUCCGGGUUGCGGACAGUGUCUGGUGGGUAGUUUGACUGGGGCGGUCUCCUCCUAAAGAGUAACGGAGGAGCACGAAGGUUGGCUAAUCCUGGUCGGACAUCAGGAGGUUAGUGCAAUGGCAUAAGCCAGCUUGACUGCGAGCGUGACGGCGCGAGCAGGUGCGAAAGCAGGUCAUAGUGAUCCGGUGGUUCUGAAUGGAAGGGCCAUCGCUCAACGGAUAAAAGGUACUCCGGGGAUAACAGGCUGAUACCGCCCAAGAGUUCAUAUCGACGGCGGUGUUUGGCACCUCGAUGUCGGCUCAUCACAUCCUGGGGCUGAAGUAGGUCCCAAGGGUAUGGCUGUUCGCCAUUUAAAGUGGUACGCGAGCUGGGUUUAGAACGUCGUGAGACAGUUCGGUCCCUAUCUGCCGUGGGCGCUGGAGAACUGAGGGGGGCUGCUCCUAGUACGAGAGGACCGGAGUGGACGCAUCACUGGUGUUCGGGUUGUCAUGCCAAUGGCACUGCCCGGUAGCUAAAUGCGGAAGAGAUAAGUGCUGAAAGCAUCUAAGCACGAAACUUGCCCCGAGAUGAGUUCUCCCUGAGACUUAGAGUCUCCUGAAGGAACGUUGAAGACGACGACGUUGAUAGGCCGGGUGUGUAAGCGCAGCGAUGCGUUGAGCUAACCGGUACUAAUGAACCGUGAGGCUUAACCUU